ensembl:lncRNA
CUGGCUCUAGCCACACACAGAAAGAUUCUUGGGCUCAGGCAAUCCUCACCCUGCUGGAGCUGAGUUUUCCUGCCUUCAGUGGGAGAUGACCAACAUUUGAAGAAGCCAAAGGAGACAUGUCAACUUCUAGGGGGCUGGACACCCAUCAGGGUAGGGACAUUUCUGCUUAGUAUCGGAAACUAGGCCUUUGCUUAGUGUUCUAAAAUCAUCUGGGUGAAUACAACUUUAUUAUAUUUUCUAUAAAAUGGCAUGUUGCAUUUAUUUAAAUUUGCAGGCAAGGAAACGGGCAUAGCUGUCCCUAGUGAUUAAAUAAUAACAAUUGUGCAUAGAUCAGGACUCCUUAAAUCUUAAACAAACAAAACACCAAAAAACCCCCACCUCAUCCCAAACAUACUUUUCUCUAAAUCUUGAAGUCAUUGCCAGGCAUGGCUGUGAUAACGAUGGCCAAGAGGGGGAGGUGGGACCUCCAUUUGGAAUCCAGGCAAACCACACACACACGUGGGGUGGGAAUUCGGAAAGGGGAAAUAGCCAGGAGAGAUGUCCCUUAACGAGAGACCCACUGGGCUCCAAGCUCUGUAGUUAGAUCCUAAUUGACUACAGGGACCCCAACUCAUAGACUCAACAUUUUGGUCCUACUUACUUAUUGCUUGCUUAUUUCCCUAGACUUUUCCCGACACAUUUUCUUUACCAGCUUGGGAAAGGAACUCCCCCCUCUCUGUCACUCUGGGACAUUCCUGUCUGGAUAACUGGACUCCGGCUGCAGAUAUACCAAAAUGACUGUGGCAUUAAUUUCCUUGGAGAGCAUGCUUUCACCAGAGGCUUUAUUAAUAUUUGCCACCCUGGAGUCAUUCACCCCAUUUGGCCCUGUAUAUAAACAAUAAUGCCUACUGCUGGCUGGAAAAUAAACCGUGUGAAUUGGCAUGUUUUUCAAUGAGAGGUCAUCGAGAACAGCACUGGCAAUGGCCCAUUGUAUCCCCCAGACCUUUCGUUUAGGGGCCAAGCAGAGGCAAUGAUGUCUAACAGACGCACCAUUAGGCAAGACCUACAUCUGAAAGCUUUGUUGAUUCAGACGCUCAGUAAUUAAGUUGUGGGCCAGCAAGCACAUUAUCUGCAUUCAAACAUGUCCCUGAUCAGCGAUUAGAUGGGCAAACAUGUGACCUCAUUGUCUCUGACGAAGGAUGAUUGUGUAACAGUCUCUUGUCCUCGGACAUCAUGGUUAUUUGCCAACUUUUGAUCCCAGUAAAGAAGCUGAAAUCACUUGCUGCGGUUCUGGGAAUCAGAUUUUUAGGACAACUGACUCUUCCUUGGGAGGCUUGAUGCAUUCGACCUGAUUACUGAUGCACUGGAAACUCUACAGAGACCCAGACACAAGCUGUAAUGCAGAUGUAAUUGUUGGAGCAGGAGUGGCCGUCUUGGACCAUGAGGUGGCAGCUGUGUGUUGAUAGGACCCUAGGUCCAUAAAAUCACCAUACUAGACUUGGACUGCCUACAUUUCUGAGCAUGUGGUGGUCACUGAAGUACAAGACAGCCAGUGGGGCUCACCAUCCAGCAAGUUUCAGUGCACCCCUGUUGCCUCUUUCCCAGGAAGUUCCACCAGCAUCUCAACAGGUCUCACGAGGCUGAAAUCAAGGUGUUGGCUGUCCUGAGCUCAUUUUUGGAGGUUCUGGAGAAGAAUCUGCUUCCAAGCUCAUUCGGGUUGUUGGAAGAAUCCAGUUCCUUGUAAUUACAGGGUUGAGGUCCCCACGUCCUUGCUGGCUGUCACUUGGGAAACUCUCUCAGCUCCUUAAGGCCAUCUACAUCCCUCAUCAUGUUGCUUCCUCCAUCUUCAUUCCGGUGAUGGUGCGUAGAGUCCUUCUGAUGCUUCAAGUCUCUGCGACUUCCCCUUUUACAGUAUCUUUUCUGUCUCCAGCCAGAGAAAGUUCUCUGCUUUUAAGGACUCAGGUGAUUAGCUUGGACCCACCUGGUUAAUCCAGAAUAACCUCCCAAUUUUAAGGCCCGAAGCCUUAAUCACACCUGCAAAGCCCCUUUUGCCAUGUCAGGUAACAUCAUCAGAGGUUCCAGGGAUCAGGACAUAGACAUCUUUGGGGGGACAUUCUACCUACCACAGCAAUCCUCUGGUCAGUCUUAGCCAAAGACUCCAAAGAUGAGGUUUCCUACCACUUCUAUUAAACUCUGGCUAUUUGGGUUCCUGGGGGUACCUAGAGGACACUGAUCAUUUUAAUUUAUAGAUCAUCAGGAAAUUGUACAGUGCUAUAGACUGAAUGUUUGUGUUCCCCCAAAGUUCGGGUGUUGAAGCCCUAAGCCCCAGUGUGAUGGUAUUAGGAGGUGAGGCCUUUGGGAGGUAAUUAGGUUUAAAUGAGGUCACGAGGGUGGAGCCCCCACGAUGGGACUAGUGUCCACAUAAGAAGAGAAAGAGACCCCAGAGCUUCCUCACUUAGCCACGUGAGGAUACAACAAGAAGAUGGCCUUUUGUAAGCUAGGAAGAGAGUUCUGAUUAGGAACUGAAUCUGCCGGCACCUUGAUCUUGGACUCCCCAGCCUCCAGAACUGUGAAAAAUAAAUGUCUGUUGUUUAAGCCGCC